GCCGGCCCCGAGAAGAACUCCGCGGAACCCGCGGGCCUCGCCUCCCGGCUUGCAGCGUGAGAGAUUCGGCCUGCGGCUUUCGGCCCCGCCCGCUUGGCUGGCUCCGGGCUCUGCUCACUGGUCCGGGAGGUACCCGGACACGCCUGGUCACCUCUCCGGGUCCAGAUUCCCCAACCAGCUUUCGCCGUGCCUCAGGAACACGAAUUUGGUGUAUUAGUUCCCUUCUGAAAGAGGCUCCAGAGAGCUCCCUGGCCCUUUCAGCCAUGUGAGGGUACAGUGAGAAGUCUGUGAGAAGUGGGCACACUCAUUCCAUCACACUGGCACCCUGCUCUGAUUUCCAGCCCGCAGAACAGGAUUCAGACCUGAAUACAGCUGGCUUCCUAAGCAUAUUCAGGACAUGGCUCACUGAUGACUCUAUAAGGAGGAGAUGGUCAGGAGCUGAGAUCUGAGCAUUUGCUUACUUUUAAGUGCUGCUUUCUCUACAAGACAAAAAUGUCUGGACAUCUCAUUCAUCUCAACAGUAAGCACAAGAACACCAUCUCCCCUUAAUGGAAUAAAACUUCGGGCAGUGUACAGUAAGCUGUGAAAAUAGUGACUAAGGCUGGGUUUUCAAACAGCAGCAAUUAGGUCAGUUGUCUUUCCCUGGGCUGAAUAAAAGUACUAGCUGUUCAUAAGAAAUAGGCAAGAGGACAGGCUCUUUGGCCCCACUUUAAAAAAAUUUUUAAAUUCCACUUGAAAUAAUAGCUAAAAACUACAAAGUAGAGACUGCAGAAGAUCCCAAAAUUUCUUGAGUUUGGAAUAUUUUCUUUUUAUUGCAUUAACUCUUAAGAGUUUUGAUAUUUGGGAGUUAUAAUUGGUAUUUCUCAUUUUCUUGACUAAACCAAUUUUGCAUUAGCAUUAAUAAAGGUUCUGCUAAGACUUUUUAAAGAUGUUGUACUUACACACUUAAAAAUAAAGGUAAACAUAAAACUAAAACCAAAGGAUACAAAGAUAAAAGAGAAAAAAUACCGACUGUUAAAAAGUUUAUAACAUUUCUUUAAUUCAUCCUUAUUUAUGAAGCAAAUAACUCAAGGAUAUAUAAGGAAAAAUGGACAGAAAAUGCAAGAAAUGGGACAUAGAGAAGAAAAGAGAAAUUCCCACCCAGACAGAAAAUAAUGAAGUUAAAAAGCUUGAAGGGGAAAUACUGAGGCAGCCAUUUCUUGAAGUAGAUUAGCAGAUUUUCUGUACACUAACUUUGA